GUUAAAAAGCUCGUAGUUGGAUUUCUGUUGAGGACGGCCGGUCCGCACUAUGUGCGUGUAUCUGGUUCGGCCUUGGCAUCCUCUUGAGGAACGUUUCUACGCUUGAUUGCGUGGAGCGGUAUUCAAGACUUUUACUUUGAGGAAAUUAGAGUGUUCACGGCAGGCAAGCGCCUUGAAUACAUUAGCAUGGAAUAAUAAUAUAGGAUCUUGGUUCUAUUUUGUUGGUUUCUAGAGCUAAGGUAAUGAUUAAUAGGGAUAAUUGGGGGCAUUUGUAUUAACGCGUCAGAGGUGGAAUUCUUGGAUUGCGUUACGACAAACUACUGCGAAAGCAUUUGCCAAGGAUGUUUUCAUUGAUCAAGAACGAAAGUAUGGGGAUCGAAGAUGAUUAGAUACCGUCGUAGUCUAUACCAUAAACUAUGCCGACUAGGGAUUGGAGGUCGUUCUUUUUAUGACUCCUUCAGCACCUUAUGAGAAAUCAAAGUCUUUGGGUUCCGGGGGGAGUAUAGUCGCAAGGCUGAAACUUAAAGGAAUUGACGGAAGGGCACCACCAGGAGUGGAGCCUGCGGCUUAAUUUGACUCAACACGGGGAAACUCACCAGGUCCAGACAUAGUAAGGAUUGACAGAUUGAUAGCCCUUUCUUGAUUCUAUGGGUGGUGGUGCAUGGCCGUUCUUAGUUGGUGGAGUGAUUUGUCUGGUUUAUUUCGAUAAC
rnacentral:rRNA from 1 species